CAAUGAAGGAAGCAUGGUAAUGUGCACAUAAAUAAAUUGAAUUGGGUCUCUAGGCCUGCCUUCUCUGAUGCCAUUCGGCUUUGAUUUGGAGGCAUGGUUCCGCAGCAAAACA